rnacentral:snRNA from 1 species
AUUUCGGUGUCUUUGGACAUUUGGUCAAUUUGAAACAAUACAGAGAUGAUCAGCAGUUCCCCUGCAUAAGGAUGAACCGUUUUACAAAGAGAUUUAACUAUUUUUUUUG